CUACACUCUUUCCCUACACGACGCUCUUCCGAUCUAGAAUCCAUACCACCGCAAGCGCAAGGGUUUCCAGGCAAUGCGUUUUCAGCCUGGAGUUAGUCGAUCCUAAGAGUUGCCUCAAAAGAGUAAUUCGAAAGGGAAACUAGUUAAUAUUCUAGUACCUUGCUGCAAGCGUUUGAGCUAUAUGGUUUGCUUCCGGAUAGGGAUUGUAUAACCGUCGUUGUAUCUAACUGUUCGAGAGUUGGGGAGUGUCGUAAUGACGAGAACCGAUUCGAGGCAGGAAUGGCUUCGCGUUAGCGGAGUUUUCUCAAUUCCAGGAGACCAUGAAAGACUGUAUAGUUAGCGUGUAGCAAGCUCGUACCCAGAUCCGACACAGGUGCGCUGGAUUAGUAAUCUAAGGUGCUACGGGUAUACCGUAUGGCGAGGGAAUUCGGCAAAUUAGUCCUGUAGCUUCGGUAUAAGGGAUGCCUGCUGUCUUCAUGAGGAAUGGGGAUAGCAGGUUGCAAUGACAAGGGGGUCCCGACUGUUUAAUAAAAACACAGGUGACUGCUAGUCCGAAAGGAUUUGUAUAGUCACUGAAUCCUGGCCGGUGCUGGUACCUAAAACUUGGGUUCAACUGAGCUAAGGGCCAGUUAACGCCGGGAGUAACUCUGACUCUCUUAAGGUAGCCAAAUGCCUUGUCGGGUAAGUUCCGACGCGCAUGAAUGGAACAACGAGGGCCCCACUGUCCCCGCCUACAACCCGGUGAAGCCACAUAAGGUGGACGAACAGUCCAUCAUCUUCCAUCGGGGAGAGAAGACCCCGUGGAGUUUUACUGCAGCUUGUACUUGUGGUAUAGUAAAGAUUGCACAGAGUAUCUGGGAGCCAUGCUUAACGUUCUCCGGGAUGUUAAGAAGCGCCGAUGUAACACCAGACUCUCUUUGUAGUACCACUUAUCUGGUGAAGACCAGAGACAUGUGCAGGUGGGCAGUUCGGCUGGGGCGGCACCCCUUUGAAAAGAUAUCAAAGGGGCCCAAAGUUUAGUUCAAGCGGGUCAGAAAUCCGCUGAAGAGGGCAAAGCCAAAAACUAGACUGACUGGAUUUCCAAACGCACGGAAUUCAGAGACGAAAGUCGGGCUUAGCGAUCCUUCGAGUGCCCACUAUUGGGGCCCGGAGGUGACAGAAAAAUUACCCCAGGGAUAACAGGCUCGUCGCGGGCGAGAGCUCCUAUCGACCCCGCGGUUUGGUACCUCGAUGUCGGCUUUUCCUAUCCUGGUCCUGCAGCAGGGGCCAAGGGUGAGGCUGCUCGCCUAUUAAAAGGGAACAUGAGCUGGGUUUAGACCGUCGUGAGACAGGUCGGUCUCUGCCUGAUGGAAGUGUGGAUGUCUGAGGGGAAGUUGCUCAUAGUACGAGAGGAACAGAGCAGCGUGGCCACUGGUCUACCGGUUGUCUGACAAGGCAGGCCGGGCAGCUAAGCCAUUUAGGCUAAGUGCUGAAAGCAUCUAAGCACGAAUCCUAUCCCGAGACGAGACAUCCUUUCGU
rnacentral:rRNA from 1 species